GAUUGAACGCUGGCGGCAGGCCUAACACAUGCAAGUCGAGCGGAUGAAGGGAGCUUGCUCCUGGAUUCAGCGGCGGACGGGUGAGUAAUGCCUAGGAAUCUGCCUGGUAGUGGGGGAUAACGUCCGGAAACGGGCGCUAAUACCGCAUACGUCCUGAGGGAGAAAGUGGGGGAUCUUCGGACCUCACGCUAUCAGAUGAGCCUAGGUCGGAUUAGCUAGUUGGUGGGGUAAAGGCCUACCAAGGCGACGAUCCGUAACUGGUCUGAGAGGAUGAUCAGUCACACUGGAACUGAGACACGGCCCAGACUCCUACGGGAGGCAGCAGUGGGGAAUAUUGGACAAUGGGCGAAAGCCUGAUCCAGCCAUGCCGCGUGUGUGAAGAAGGUCUUCGGAUUGUAAAGCACUUUAAGUUGGGAGGAAGGGCAGUAAGUUAAUACCUUGCUGUUUUGACGUUACCAACAGAAUAAGCACCGGCUAACUUCGUGCCAGCAGCCGCGGUAAUACGAAGGGUGCAAGCGUUAAUCGGAAUUACUGGGCGUAAAGCGCGCGUAGGUGGUUCAGCAAGUUGGAUGUGAAAUCCCCGGGCUCAACCUGGGAACUGCAUCCAAAACUACUGAGCUAGAGUACGGUAGAGGGUGGUGGAAUUUCCUGUGUAGCGGUGAAAUGCGUAGAUAUAGGAAGGAACACCAGUGGCGAAGGCGACCACCUGGACUGAUACUGACACUGAGGUGCGAAAGCGUGGGGAGCAAACAGGAUUAGAUACCCUGGUAGUCCACGCCGUAAACGAUGUCGACUAGCCGUUGGGAUCCUUGAGAUCUUAGUGGCGCAGCUAACGCGAUAAGUCGACCGCCUGGGGAGUACGGCCGCAAGGUUAAAACUCAAAUGAAUUGACGGGGGCCCGCACAAGCGGUGGAGCAUGUGGUUUAAUUCGAAGCAACGCGAAGAACCUUACCUGGCCUUGACAUGCUGAGAACUUUCCAGAGAUGGAUUGGUGCCUUCGGGAACUCAGACACAGGUGCUGCAUGGCUGUCGUCAGCUCGUGCCGUGAGAUGUUGGGUUAAGUCCCGUAACGAGCGCAACCCUUGUCCUUAGUUACCAGCACCUCGGGUGGGCACUCUAAGGAGACUGCCGGUGACAAACCGGAGGAAGGUGGGAUGACGUCAAGUCAUCAUGGCCCUUACGGCCAGGGCUACACACGUGCUACAAUGGUCGGUACAAAGGGUUGCCAAGCCGCGAGGUGGAGCUAAUCCCAUAAAACCGAUCGUAGUCCGGAUCGCAGUCUGCAACUCGACUGCGUGAAGUCGGAAUCGCUAGUAAUCGUGAAUCAGAAUGUCACGGUGAAUACGUUCCCGGGCCUUGUACACACCGCCCGUCACACCAUGGGAGUGGGUUGCUCCAGAAGUAGCUAGUCUAACCGCAAGGGGGACGGUUACCACGGAGUGAUUCAUGACUGGGGUGAAGUCGUACAAGGUAACC
rnacentral:rRNA from 1 species